rnacentral:rRNA from 1 species
UAGUCCACGCCGUAAACGAUGAUCACUCACCGUUGGCGAUACAAUGUCAGCGGUCAAGCGAAAGUGUUAAGUGAUCCACCUGGGGAGUACGAUCGCAAGGUUGAAACUCGAAGGAAUUGACGGGGGCCCGCACAAGCGGUGGAGCAUGUGGUUUAAUUCGAUGAUACGCGAGGAACCUUACCAAGGCUUAAAUGCAAAAUGACUUUUAGAGAAAUCUAAAUUUUCUUCGGAACAAUUUGCAAGGUGCUGCAUGGUUGUCGUCAGCUCGUGCCGUGAGGUGUCGGGUUAAGUCCCAUAACGAGCGCAACCCCUAUUCUUAGUUGCCAGUGAGUAAUGUCGGGGACUCUAAGAAAACUGCCGGCGCAAGCCGCGAGGAAGGUGGGGAUGACGUCAAAUCAUCACGGCCCUUACGUCUUGGGCUACACACGUGCUACAAUGGUCAAUACAGAGGGUAGCUAUCAGGUGACUGAAUGCAAAUCUCUAAAGUUGAUCACAGUUCGGAUUG